rnacentral:rRNA from 1 species
GGAGUUAGCCGGUGCUUCUUCUGCGAGUAACGUCACAGAUGUAAGGUAUUAACUUACACCCUUUCCUCCUCGCUGAAAGUGCUUUACAACCCGAAGGCCUUCUUCACACACGCGGCAUGGCUGCAUCAGGGUUUCCCCCAUUGUGCAAUAUUCCCCACUGCUGCCUCCCGUAGGAGUCUGGGCCGUGUCUCAGUCCCAGUGUGGCUGAUCAUCCUCUCAGACCAGCUAGGGAUCGUCGCCUAGGUGAGCCUUUACCUCACCUACUAGCUAAUCCCACCUGGGCUUAUCCAUCAGCGCAAGGCCCGAAGGUCCCCUGCUUUACCCCGUAGGGCGUAUGCGGUAUUAGCAGUCGUUUCCAACUGUUAUCCCCCACAAAUGGGCAAAUUCCCAGGCAUUACUCACCCGUCCGCCGCUCGUCAUCUUCAAAAGCAAGCUUUUGAAAUGUUACCGCUCGACUUGCAUGUGUUAGGCCUGCCGCCAGCGUUCAAUCUGAGCCAUGAUCAAACUCUGA